rnacentral:rRNA from 1 species
GGAGUUUUAACUCAAGUGGCGGACGGGUGAGUAACACGUGAGAAUUUACCUUUAGGAGGGGGAUAACAAUUGGAAACGAUUGCUAAUACCCCAUAUGCUUUUUUAAGUGAAACGGAUUUAUCCGCCUAAAGAAAAGCUCGCGGCUGAUUAGCUAGUUGGUAAGGUAAUGGCUUACCAAGGCGAUGAUCAGUAUCUGGUUUGAGAGGACGAUCAGACACACUGGAACUGAGACACGGUCCAGACUCCUACGGGAGGCAGCAGUGGGGAAUUUUCCGCAAUGGGCGAAAGCCUGACGGAGCAAUACCGCGUGAGGGAAGAAAGCCUACUGGGUUGUAAACCUCUUUUUUCAGGGAGGAACAAAAUGACGUGUACCUGAAGAAUAAGCAUCGGCUAACUCCGUGCCAGCAGCCGCGGUAAGACGGGGGAUGCAAGUGUUAUCCGGAAUUACUGGGCGUAAAGCGUCUGUAGGUUGUUUAAUAAGUCAACUGUUAAAUCUUGAGGCUUAACCUCAAAACAGCAGUCGAAACUAUUAGACUAGAGUAUAGUAGGGGUAAAGGGAAUUUCCAGUGGAGC